GCUACAGAGGAAGGUGAAAAACCUCCAGGGCCUCUUCCAAUCUGCCCUGGAGGAAAAUUCCUUCCUGACCCCAAAUAUGGCGAUCAGCUGAACCCUGAGCAUAUGGGCAAGAUUCAUCAGCCAGAUAGUACAGAAAACUCUUUCCUGUCUAACUCAGAUCCCACCCCAUCUAAUAUCCCAUCACAGGCCAUUGGGCCUAUUUACCAUGAAUAUUUAAAGAUCAAUUACUUACCAA